rnacentral:rRNA from 1 species
GUGCCAGCCGCCGCGGUAAUACGAGUGGUGCAAGCGUUAUUCGGAAUCAUUGGGCGUAAAGGGUGUGUAGACGGCAUAUUAAGUCAGCUGUUAAAUUCUUCGGCCUAACCGAAGGGCUGCAGCAGAUACUGGUGUGCUUGAGGAUGGAAGAGAGAAGUGGAAUUCUCGGAGUAGCGGUAAAAUGCGUAGAUCUCGAGAGGAACACCAAUGGCGAAGGCAGCUUCUUGGUCCAUAUCUGACGUUGAAACACGAAAGCGUGGGGAGCAAACAGGAUUAGAUACCCUGGUAGUCCACGCUGUAAACGAUGAUCACUAGACGUUAGUUCUUGUUUUACGGAAUUAGUGUCGCAGCUAACGCGUUAAGUGAU